CUACGGGUGGCAGCAGUGAGGAAUAUUGCACAAUGGGGGGAACCCUGAUGCAGCAACGCCGCGUGGAGGAUGACGCAUUUCGGUGUGUAAACUCCUUUUAUAUGUCAAGAAAAUGACGGUAGCAUAUGAAUAAGCGCCGGCUAACUCCGUGCCAGCAGCCGCGGUAAUACGGAGGGCGCAAGCGUUACUCGGAAUCACUGGGCGUAAAGGACGCGUAGGCGGGUUGAAAAGUCAGGUGUGAAAGCCUACAGCUUAACUGUAGAACUGCACUUGAAACUCUCAAUCUAGAGUAUGGGAGGGGCAGAUGGAAUUAGUGGUGUAGGGGUAACAUCCGUAGAUAUCACUAGGAAUACCUAAAGCGAAGGCGAUCUGCUGGAACAUUACUGACGCUAAGGCGUGAAAGCGUGGGGAGCAAACAGGAUUAGAUACCCGGGUAGUC
rnacentral:rRNA from 1 species